GACGGGGGCCCGCACAAGCGGUGGAGCAUGUGGUUUUAAUUCGAUGAUACGCGAGGAACCUUACCUGGGCUCAAAUGUAUGUUGACGUAUUCUGAAAGGGAUACUUCUUUCGGACAAUAUACAAGGUGCUGCAUGGUUGUCGUCAGCUCGUGUCGUGAGAUGUUGGGUUAAGUCCCGUAACGAGCGCAACCCUUGUCCUUAGUUACCAGCACGUUAUGGUGGGCACUCUAAGGAGACUGCCGGUGGCAAACCGGAGGAAGGUGGGGAUGACGUCAAGUCAUCAUGGCCCUUACGGCCUGGGCUACACACGUGCUACAAUGGUCGGUACAAAGGGUUGCCAAGCCGCGAGGUGGAGCUAAUCCCAUAAAACCGAUCGUAGUCCGGAUCGCAGUCUGCAACUCGACUGCGUGAAGUCGGAAUCGCUAGUAAUCGUGAAUCAGAAUGUCACGGUGAAUACGUUCCCGGGCCUU
rnacentral:rRNA from 1 species